GACGAACGCUGGCGGCGUGCUUAACACAUGCAAGUCGAACGGAAAGGCCCUGCUUUUUUGGGGUGCUCGAGUGGCGAACGGGUGAGUAACACGUGAGUAACCUGCCCUUGACUUUGGGAUAACUUCAGGAAACUGGGGCUAAUACCGGAUAGGAGCUCCUGCUGCAUGGUGGGGGUUGGAAAGUUUCGGCGGUUGGGGAUGGACUCGCGGCUUAUCAGCUUGUUGGUGGGGUAGUGGCUUACCAAGGCUUUGACGGGUAGCCGGCCUGAGAGGGUGACCGGCCACAUUGGGACUGGGAUACGGCCCAGGCUCCUACGGGGGGCAGCGGUGGGGAAUAUUGCACAAUGGGCGGAAGCCUGAUGGAGCAACGCCGCGUGCGGGAUGACGGCCUUCGGGUUGUAAACCGCUUUCGCCUGUGACGAAGCGUGAGUGACGGGAAUGGGUAAAGAAGCACCGGCAAACUACGG
rnacentral:rRNA from 1 species